UACACCAUGGAAACCUCAGAAGCUGGAUCCUCUCCUCUCACACCACUGCUUGAUGAGCCACGGAUCAUCUUCACCAUAAAGACACGUUAUGGAGACUAUGGUCUAACCAGUGUUACUUGUCACAGUGAUGAAGAAAUCUGGACGCGUGGUAAUAAUAAGAUGAUGAGUCUCUACAACCUGCAGGGGAAACUAGUGAAGUCAGUCCAAACCAAGUCAGGGAACGAUCCAUACGACAUAGCAGUGACAAGGAGUGGGGAUCUAGUUUAUACUGAUUACAAAGAUAGAACUGUGAACAUAGUGAAGAAUACACAGAUACAGACAGUGAUCAGACUACAGGAGUGGGGGCCUCGCAGUGUCUGUAGUACCUCCUCUGGUGACCUCCUGGUUGUCAUGGACAGUGAUGAUUAUAGACAAACAAAAGUUGUGUGUUACUCUGGCUCCACAGAGAAACAAAGUAUUCAGUACGACGACAAAGGACAACCUCUCUAUUCAUCUGGUGAGUACAACACUAAACACAUCAGUGAGAACAGGAACCUAGAUAUCUGUGUGUCAGACUAUGACGCCCGUGCAGUAGUGGUGGUCAAUCAGGCCGGGAAACUCCGGUUUACCUAUGCUGGUCGUCACUCUACUACCAAGGGAUCAUUCACACCACGCGGCAUCACAACAGACAGCCAGGGUCGCAUCCUGACAGCAGACAUUAACAACCAGCGUAUCCACAUCCUGGAUCAGGACGGACAGUUCCUCCGCUACAUUAACAACUGUCAUUUACAGCGUCCAUGGGGUUUAUGUGUGGACACCAGAGACAACCUCUUUGUGGCUGAACACCGCACAGGUACAGUGAAGAAAAUACAAUAUUACAUGUAAACAUUGUGUAUGUAUUAUACAUGUAUAAAAACAAACUGUGUGUGUGUGUGUAAUAUAUGUAAACAAACUGUGUGUAUGUAUUAUAUGUAAACAAACUGUGUGUAUGUAUUAUAUGUAAACAAACUGUGUGUGUGUAUUAUAUGUAAACAAACUGUGUGUGUGUAUUAUAUGUAAACAAACUGUGAGUGUGUAUUAUAUGUAAACAGACUGUGUGUAUGUAUUAUAUGUAAACAAACUGUGUGUGUGUAUUAUAUGUAAACAAACUGUGAGUGUGUAUUAUAUGUAAACAAACUGUGUGUAUGUAUUAUAUGUAAACAAACUAUGUGUAUGCAUUUUAUUUAUAAGAAAAACUGUGUAUAAUAUCUGUGUACACAAAAUAUGUGUAUAUCAUCAUUAAUUGUAAUCCAAAGAAAUAAUUUAAUGUACAUGUGUGUAUUGAAUGCAGUUGGAAUUGGAUGUAUAAAAAUAUUUCUUUAUUAAAUGUACAGAUCU
rnacentral:misc_RNA from 1 species